AUUGAACGCUGGCGGCAUGCUUUACACAUGCAAGUCGAACGGCAGCGCGGGCUUCGGCCUGGCGGCGAGUGGCGAACGGGUGAGUAAUACCUCGGAACGUGCCCAGUAGUGGGGGAUAGCUCGGCGAAAGCCGGAUUAAUACCGCAUACGACCUGAGGGUGAAAGCGGGGGAUCUUCGGACCUCGCGCUCUUGGAGCGGCCGAUGGCAGAUUAGCUAGUUGGUGGGGUAAAGGCCUACCAAGGCGACGAUCUGUAGCUGGUCUGAGAGGACGACCAGCCACACUGGGACUGAGACACGGCCCAGACUCCUACGGGAGGCAGCAGUGGGAAAUUUUGGACAAUGGGCGAAAGCCUGAUCCAGCAAUGCCGCGUGUGUGAUGAAGGCCUUCGGGUUGUAAAGCACUUUUGGCGGGAACGAAAAGGACUGUGCCAAUACCACGGUUCGAUGACGGUACCCGCAGAAUAAGCACCGGCUAACUACGUG
rnacentral:rRNA from 1 species